CACAGUGAUGCCACUGAAACCAGACUUCGGACUUUGGGAACCAGCCACAGAUGUCUCCUCCAAGAACCCUCCAACCACACCGCACAGCAGCCUGUGGCCUCUACUUACACACCACCUGUGAUGGGGUGCUCUCUCACCACAGCCCUCACAGUGACCCUCGGCCCCUGACUACUGCUGUCACCCCCAUUUUACAGCUGAGGAGCCUGAGGCUCCGAGUGAGGAGGUGAGCAGUCCAGGGUCAGAGGCAGAGCUGUGACCCAACUCCAGGUGAAACUGACCCACAAGUCGUGGACCACCUGGCCUCAGACUUCUGGAUGGCAUUAGCUUGGCUGAGGCCCCAGUGCUGUCCCUGGGCAGCUGCCCUCUCUCAGUCCUCAUCCUCCAGGCUUCUUCCCAUUCUGAGCAGACAGAUGCUGAGCACCCUUUAAGUGACAGAGCUUGGGUGUGAACCCAGAGCUCAUGCCCUGGCAGUCAAACCUUCCUUUCCCUUUGUUUAAAGCUGCUCUGAUGGACGACUCCAAGUUCAAGGUCUGAGGUCAAGGCUGCUCACCCAGCAGGCACACUCAAGACUUCUAGUCUAGGUUUCCUGGGCCCAGAGACUGGACUCUGAGUCAUUCCAGGAAACCUUCAGAACAGCCCCAGAAUGUUCCUGGAACAAGGGGACAUGGUCAGAAGCCCACUGAGCUGGGGCCUGGUCUGUCAGACCAGACACUCUGCAGAGGUGACAGGAGAUGCCCCAUCAGGGCUGCUUACCUUGUAGGGGACACCCCAGGUCACAGAGGCACCACCAAGCCUAUAACAGAAGCCCAGGGACCCAGCUACCCUCCCCCAGCCCUGCUUCUCCAGGACCAGACACCACUUCUGAACCCAGGGACUCUGACCCAAAGGACUGGAGCCGUGGUACAGCCCAGCUGGGCACUGAGCCCUCCCAGUUAACACAACAGCCCCACAAGGCACAAACUCUGAGCAGCCCCACUGUAUAGAGGAGGAAACUGAGGCCCAGAGAGGGAAUGCCACUUGCCUAAGGCCCCAGAGCUGAGAAAAAAAAGCUAAUUCAUCAUUUGAACUUGGGCCCAUUACACUCCUGUCACUGGGUUUUCCAGGAUGGUUUAUUUUAAGCAGCAGCGGUUGUUUUCAAAGUUUUAUAGGGAACCUCGCACUAUCAUGCAGAUAAGACCAUGUGUCUGGGGUUUAUUUGCUUUUCAUGCUAUUAGGGCCUUGAGACUUUUUAAAAACAAAGAGUAGAGUCUUUAUCUGCACUUGCAUUUUUCCAAAAGCUUUACAUUACAUUUGGAAUAAAAUAUGAACUCCUCACGGGACCCUCUGCCUG
rnacentral:lncRNA from 1 species